UAACAAUAUCCAUUCCUGUAAUAUAUGUGCCAUUUCAGGUACAGCUGAAAGAGCUGGAAUUUGCACGGAGGAAAAAUUCGCUAUUGGAGAAGACGAUCCGCACACAUAUAACGGACUUAUAACCAUGGCUCAUGAACUUGGGCAUUCUCUGGGCUCCGAUCAUGACAGCUGUGACGGUGCAAAGGAGUGCCCUGCUAGAUAUGGAAACUUGAUGACCAACAUAGAUAAAGGCAUGCAAAAUAAAUCAAGGCUGUCGGAGUGCAGCCAACGACAAAUACGUUCGUUAGUAAGGCGAUUGCCACUAUCGUGUGCAAACGUCAGCACAGUAGCCAAUUACAGAAAUGAAGGGUAUCCUGGAGAAAACAUUACUCACGAUGAAUUUUGUAGGUUGAUGCACCCAGAAAAAGAAAACAUACAGGCCUCCACAGCGAAUGUGCAGGAAUGUGGCAUAGAGUGCUGCUGGAAUGAGACAUUAAGCAUAGAAAGUCGGGGCAGCUCUGGUAGUUCCAAGACUGAACUUCCAGAAUAUCCAGAGGCUACAAAUGAAGGUAGUAACGAAUACAGC